GCAGUGGAGCAGGCGAUCGCCGGCGGGCUCGUCCCGCGGGAGGAAAGUCCGAGCUCCGAAGGGCAGGGUGCCGGGUAACGCCCGGUGAGGGUGACCUCGAGGAAAGUGCAACAGAGAAAGACCGCCAGGACGCGGAGGCCGAGAGGCCGAAGCCGCCUGGUAAGGGUGAAACGGCGGGGUAAGAGCCCACCGCGACCACGGUAACGUGGUCGGCACGGCAAACCCCACCCGGUGCAAGGCCGCAUAGGGAAGCGUGGGGAUCCAAAAGAUCUCCGAAGGGUGGCCCGCCCGAGCUUCCGGGUUGGCCGCUGGAGGCACGUAGCAAUGCGUGCCCUAGAGGAAUGAUCGCUGGCGCGUCGAGGGCGACCGAGGCGCGAGACAGAACUCGGCUUAUGAGCCGCUGCGACC
rnacentral:RNase_P_RNA from 1 species